CUUCACCGUGCCCAGCCGCAGGGGCCGUUCCACGGGGCGGCCCUUGCCGUACGUCGCGAGCAGGGCCUGCGCCUC
rnacentral:antisense_RNA from 1 species